rnacentral:lncRNA from 1 species
AUGAGGCUCAAGCUGUACCAUAUGCAGGAAACAAUGCAUCAGGGAGGCUGUUUCAGAGACACAGACUCUCACAGGCAGACAGCCAAAAGAGGCAGAAGUCUGAAAAAAGAGCUGGAAAAACUGCUGGUGAUUCUUUCCUCAUUUAUAAUUUUUGAGCUCACUGAGGGUCUCAGAAAGGCUGAAGUUCCAUAUUUCGACCAGAUAAAAGGACUAGGUAAAUUUUAUGUUACCUUAUAUUUGCAAUACCCUUAUCCAUCUCCUAUACUAUAUAAAUAAGUAGAUAUAAUUCAUGAGAGAUGUAGCAUGUUAAUUCACCACAUAUAAGCAGACUCUGCAUUAAAUAGUUCAUAAUAACCCCUUGAAUUUGAAAGAAAGUUGGCAGGAAUGCUUUCUGCUAGGUCACCUUUGCCAGUGUGUCUGCUGCUCCUACAUGCAGUACCUUGGAAGGCGAUGUUUACUGUACUGAUUCUCUCCAGGGAACUGGGAAAGAGGACACAACAGCUCUUUGAGGCUUGGCAAAAGAUAAUCAGAGAUGUCACUUUCUACUUCAUUCCUGCCAGAUACAUUUAGAACUUUUGCUGAGGAGAACAUCAUUUACAGAUUGUACUUAAGUCUUAGAGAGGAAUUUGAGAUGUGAAAUUCUUAAUUUUCAGUAGUGGAUGCCACAAACAAAAUGCAGAUAAUAGUAAUGGAGCAGAAUUUAUUUUUCUUGCAAUGAAUACAAGGUAUAAAGUGUUUACUGACUUAAAAAAACACCUGAACAAACAGAAUAAAGAAGAAAGCAUGCAUGGCUGCUUUGAAGGA